rnacentral:rRNA from 1 species
GUAGGUGGCAAGCGUUGUCCGGAAUUAUUGGGGCGUAAAGCGCGCGCAGGCGGUUCUUUAAGUCUGAUGUGAAAGCCCACGGGCUCAACCGUGGAGGGUCAUUGGAAACUGGAGAACUUGAGUACAGAAGAGGAAAGCGGAAAUCCACGUGUAGCGGUGAAAUGCGUAGAGAUGUGGAGGAACACCAGUGGCGAAGGCGGCUUUCUGGUCUGUAACUGACGCUGAGGCGCGAAAGCGUGGGGAGCAAACAGGAUUAGAUACCCUGGUAGUCCACGCCGUAAACGAUGAGUGCUAAGUGUUAGGGGGUUUCCGCCCCUUAGUGCUGCAGCUAACGCAUUAAGCACUCCGCCUGGGGAGUACGGCCGCAAAGGCUG